ACUGGGUGUGGUGGCAUGUGCCUGUAGUCCCAGUUACUUGGGAGGCGGAGGUGGGAAGAUUGUAUGAGCCCAGCAGUUCUGGGUUGUAGUGUCCUAUGCUGAUCUGGUGCUGCAUUAAGUUUGGCAUCAGUAUGGUAACCUCCUGGAAGUGGGAGACAAUCAGAUUCCCUAAGGAGAGGUGAACUGUGCCAGGCUGGGAAUGGAGUAGGUCAAAACUCCCAUGCUGAUCAGUAGUGGGAUCAUGCCUGUGAAUAGCCACUGCACUCCAGUCUGGGCAACAUAGUGAGACCUCAUCUCUA
ensembl:misc_RNA Metazoa_SRP Metazoan signal recognition particle RNA